UACGUAGGGGGCAAGCGUUGUCCGGAUUUAUUGGGCGUAAAGAGCGUGUAGGCGGCCAGACAGGUCCGUUGUGAAAACUCGAGGCUCAACCUCGAGACGCCGAUGGAAACCGUUUGGCUAGAGUCCGGAAGAGGAGAGUGGAAUUCCUGGUGUAGCGGUGAAAUGCGCAGAUAUCAGGAAGAACACCCGUGGCUAAGGCGGCUCUCUAGUACGGUACUGACGCUGAGACGCGAAAGCGUGGGGAGGCGAACAGG
rnacentral:rRNA from 1 species